rnacentral:rRNA from 1 species
UACGUAGGUGGCGAGCGUUGUCCGGAUUUACUGGGCGUAAAGGGCGCGCAGGUGGUGCGGCACGUCUGCUGUGAAAUCGCCCGGCUCAACCGGGCGGCUGCGGUGGAGACGGUCGCGCUGGAGGGACUCAGAGGCCGGUGGAAUUCCCGGUGUAGUGGUGAAAUGCGUAGAGAUCGGGAGGAACACCAGUGGCGAAGGCGGCCGGCUGGGGGUACCCUGACGCUGAGGCGCGAAAGCGUGGGGAGCGAACCGG